UACAGAGGUCUCAAGCGUUGUUCGGAUUCAUUGGGCGUAAAGGGUGCGUAGGCGGCGCGGUAAGUCGGGUGUGAAAUCUCGGGGCUUAACUCCGAAACUGCAUUCGAUACUGCCGUGCUUGAGGACUGGAGAGGAGACUGGAAUUUACGGUGUAGCGGUGAAAUGCGUAGAUAUCGUAAGGAAGACCAGUGGCGAAGGCGGGUCUCGUGGACAGUUCCUGACGUGAGGCACGAAGGCCAGGGGAGCAAACGGG
rnacentral:rRNA from 1 species